UAAUUAAUUAGUUAAUUAAUUAUACGAAAUGUUUGUAUUGGGCUUUUAAGUUGGUUUUGGGCUUCGGGGCCCAAAAGUAUUUUGGUCCACAAGGCCCAUUAUGUUUAAGUUGUAUGACAACUAAAACAAAAUGGGCAAUUAGCCCAAUAACAUCAACAUGGCCAGCCAUAGGGUGAGUGGAUGCAAACUUGGAUUAAUUACAAGUUUGCCACUCACAUGUGAUAAAGUAUAAAUUCAACUUUAUAGCUUUAUUUUCAUUUAGGGUUUUCUUGAUGAAAAGAGGUGAAACAUUUUCUCUCUUUUUCUCUAUAGAGGCCGGCCACUUAGAGCAGUUUUAGCUAGCAAUCUAUUCUUCUCUAAGUCAUCCAUUUCUUCUUCACAAUAUAUCCUUGGUGAAGAGACUUAGAGACAUCAAGCUUUUGGUGUUUUGGAGAACAUAUCCUCAAAUCCUCAAAGA
rnacentral:lncRNA from 1 species